rnacentral:lncRNA from 1 species
ACUUUCACUGGAGGCUUGGAAGAGCCUCCAGGGCUUCCUGGAGGAGGUGUUUGCCCUAAAUGAAAACUAGGUGUAUCCAGGGUCAGUUGCUGCCUAUAGCCAGAGCAGAAGCAGAGAGACGGGCGGAGGCAGCUACAGAGGUGACAGAUCACCUCAGCUGUCCCUGAUCCUGUCUCUUCUUGGCCCCUGGCCCUGCCCCUGCUCUUCCAGGAAGUCUCUGCUCCAAGGGAAAGCAGAGUACAGAUACCAAAGGCUCAUAGCAACCACCUCAGGCCUAGUCAAUCCCGGGCAUCUUCCUCCCCAACCCCCGCAGUUUGGAAAAGUGUCCACUAGGUGGCGAUAGAACGAUGACAUCCUCAACUCCACCAGUUAAGUUAGCAGAUGUUUGCAGGUCAGAGGCUCAGUACAAGGUCGGGAAGGACCAGCAGACGGAGCAGCGAGGC